GAUGAACGCUGGCGGCGUGCUUAACACAUGCAAGUCGAACGAAACACCUUAUUUGAUUUUCUUCGGAACUGAAGAUUUGGUGAUUGAGUGGCGGACGGGUGAGUAACGCGUGGGUAACCUGCCCUGUACAGGGGGAUAACAGUCAGAAAUGACUGCUAAUACCGCAUAAGACCACAGCACCGCAUGGUGCAGGGGUAAAAACUCCGGUGGUACAGGAUGGACCCGCGUCUGAUUAGCUGGUUGGUGAGGUAACGGCUCACCAAGGCGACGAUCAGUAGCCGGCUUGAGAGAGUGAACGGCCACAUUGGGACUGAGACACGGACAAAACUCCUACGGGAGGCAGCAGUGGGGAAUAUUGCACAAUGGGGGAAACCCUGAUGCAGCGACGCCGCGUGAGUGAAGAAGUAUUUCGGUAUGUAAAGCUCUAUCAGCAGGGAAGAAAAUGACGGUACCUGACUAAGAAGCCCCGGCUAACUACGUG
rnacentral:rRNA from 1 species